rnacentral:lncRNA from 1 species
CUCAAAUGUUACUUGUUGGUUGAACAUGACAUGCCUGCUAAGCAGUUAAUAAAAGGGAAAGGUGGUUGCCAUUGUCUCUGAAAGCUAUUCUUUCCAUUUAGGUCUACAGGGAAUAUGCUAUACUGAAAAUUUGAAAAGGAGAAUGGAAGCGAGGGUUGUGGCUCAAGAAUUGGUCCGCACUGCCCAAAAGCCUUAGAGAAAUGAUUUUUUCUCAGGUAGCAUAGCUGUAGAUUUGUUCCUCAUCUCUGAUCAUGUUCAUCUACACACUAGCAGCACGAGAGGCAAUGGCAUGCCCACAACUUCUCACCUCACCAGGGAGCCAAGACAUGGAUCAGGACCUUGCAGGUCACCCAUGGUCCUGGAUCAUACAAGUUACUCAGAUGUCAGGAUGUUUGGGGCAUACAAGAAUGAAGUCAUCAGCUUUGCUUGAAAUUUGGCAAUUACAGAAAGUAGACACUGUAUUUACACUUGCUGCAACUCCAAAACUCGGCUUGAUAUCUCUUGUUCUGUGGCCUUCCAAAACUGUCCUGGAAAUUGGUGCCCACUCUUCUACAAAUUAUGUGCACUCAAAAUCUUUUGUGUGGCUUUUUUUGGCACGCUGGGAUUUUAUCAAGGUAAAAAGAAUCAGAGUGACCACAGAAGAAAGAGAAGAAGCUCUUCCUUACACAGUAGCAAAAAAUUCAGUGUUUCAUAUUCCUUAUAGAAAUACAAUCUUGUGGUCAAAAAUACUUUGAUAUGUUUAAUAUAUUUCAAGCAUUUCCUGAAGUAUUUCCAUGUAUAUUAAUCAUGAAAUAUUCAUAUAUUUUUAAUAUGGGGGAAGAACCUUGAACUUUAACCAUGUAUCUGCAAGAAAAUGUCUAUUCUUCAUUCCAAGGUGUGUAUAAGGUUUAGGUAAGGAGUUUUGCUCAUUUCAAAUCUAUGGGACCAUAAAUUGUCUGUACAUGUAUAGAAAUCUCCCUUUGAGCUUUUGGUUUGAUACCAAUACUGAUUAUGCUUGCAGUGUGACAACAGUUACAUGUCCCUUGUUUAUUUUCCCCUCCAUCUGCAUGCAAAGAAGUCCUUGCUGUCAAUAUCCGUUACCCACAUGUAGCCAGAAGAGAUUGGACCUCACCCCAUUCCACCAGCAUUUUUCAAACUGUUAUAGCUAUGAGAUGAAAUCUCAUUUAUUUUAUGGCCACAAAUUUCAACAGGAAAUAGAGGGAUAAUUUGUUCUUCAUGGGAAAAAAAAAAAAAAAAAAAAAAGUUUCUGAUACCACCCAACACUUCAUUCUCAAUGAAGUUAGCUUUAAAGUUUCUUAAAGAGUUAUCUUAAAAAGAGAGAGAAUUUUUAAGUAACUUACAAAAUUGAAUAUAUAGUUGAUGGUUGAACUUAACAUGUCUGAUUCUCUGUUGCUAUGGAACUGGGAAGAAUCUGCAAUCUUUCAUUUGAUUUCAUUGAUGUAAGACAGCCAGUGACAUAUUGGAACACACUUCUUGCAUUACUAUUUCUAGAGUUUUCCUGAUUCUUUACCUGUUGAGUUUGAACUGAUAACUGAUUUUUUGAUCACAUAGACAAAAGGACAAUAUAAUAUGCUAUGUGAUUUUAGAAAUCCUUAUUAAGCAAGACAGAGUGCUGUACUUGCUCUCAGCACAUUUCAUGUAUGUGAAACUGAGUAAUAUUUUCCCUGCAUGUCUUAUGUAGACUAGACUAGACUAGACUAGACUAGAAUCAUUUAGGUUGAAAAAGACCUCAAA